CUCCCGCGGCUACCUCGAUUUAUCUUCUUGCUCCGCGUAAAUGUAUUUUCGUACAUGGUCUCUGUCCUCGAUGGACCGUCACGGGAUACGCGUGAUCACGCUCUUUGUUGCCGAUGAUGCGGAAAUGAGCUCGUGCGUUAAUAAAUUAUAAGUAUUUAUCUACCUCGAUGACAUUUUCAAAAGCAUCUUCAAUCCGCAACAGGAAACACAUCACGUAGAUCGUAAACUCUAUAUUUGUUACCGAAACCGAAACAGAUGUGGACGGACAGAUGAAAAUUGCGUGAAUCGGAUUUUAAAUUACGAAAAUUCAGUUUCCUGAAACAUUCAAGAAUGAUUGAUGGCAUGAUCGCGUAAUAGCUAGAAAAGCAAAGUAAUUUUUGGCAAGGAAACAAAUAUCUACAAUGAAAAUGUGUUGUCUCAUUCUUUAUUCUAUGACACUUGAUUAUAUUAUACGGCACACACAUGGGAAAAGAGAAGGAAAAAUAGAAAUUUUAUAGUUUUGAAUUUAUGUGUUAAAAAGGACAAUUGCAAAUUAUGUAAUAAUUUUGUCAUUUUUUUUCUCCUUACUGAAAUUUAAUUAGAUUUUCGUGAAAAUAUUUAAUUUAAUGUUAACUCUAUAAUAUUUUAUUACUCAACAUUAAAUAUUCACAUAAGCAGCUAAACUCGAAUUAAAAUUUUAUUCGUGUAGCUUUAUAUUUUAGUGUGAAGUAUAUUUGACAAAAAUAUAAUAUCUUAAAUUAUUAUCUAUGAAAAGUUCGAUUUUCGCGGAUCAUGUAUAAAAUUCAAAAGAUAUUGUUAUCAUCAAAUUUUUAUCUCUAAAUAUGUCUCCUGUAAAUUAAUGAAUAAAAACUGUUAUUUUACCUAAAA